CCUACGGGUGGCAGCAGUGAGGAAUAUUGGUCAAUGGUCGAGAGCCUGAACCAGCCAAGUAGCGUGAAGGAUGACGGCCCUAUGGGUUGUAAACUUCUUUUAUAUGGGGAUAAAGUGCGGAACGUGUUCUGUUUUGUAUGUACCAUAUGAAUAAGGAUCGGCUAACUCCGUGCCAGCAGCCGCGGUAAUACGGAGGAUGCGAGCGUUAUCCGGAUUUAUUGGGUUUAAGGGGAGCGUAGGCGGCUUUUUAAGUCAGCGGUAAAAGUUCGGGGCUCAACCCCGGCGUGCCGGUGAGACUGGUGUUCUUGAGUGCGCGAGACGUAUGCGGAAUGCGUGGUGUAGCGGUGAAAUGCUUAGAUAUCACGAAGAACUCCGAUUGCGAAGGCAGCAUACGGGAGCGCAACUGACGCUGAAGCUCGAAGGCGUGGGUAUCGAACAGGAUUAGAUACCCCUGUAGUC
rnacentral:rRNA from 1 species